UACGGAGGGAGCUAGCGUUGUUCGGAAUUACUGGGCGUAAAGCGCACGUAGGCGGCUACUCAAGUCAGAGGUGAAAGCCCAGGGCUCAACCUUGGAACUGCCUUUGAAACUAGGUAGCUAGAAUUCUGGAGAGGUCAGUGGAAUUCCGAGUGUAGAGGUGAAAUUCGUAGAUAUUCGGAAGAACACCAGUGGCGAAGGCGACUGACUGGACAGAUAUUGACGCUGAGACGCGAAAGCGUGGGGAGCAAACAGG
rnacentral:rRNA from 1 species